rnacentral:rRNA from 1 species
CAGUCGCCACGGUAAUACGAAGGGUGCUAGCGUUGUUCGGAAUCACUGGGCGUAAAGCGCGCGUAGGCGGCGUAGCAAGUCAGAGGUGAAAGCCCGGGGCUCAACCCCGGAAUUGCCUUUGAAACUGCUAUGCUAGAGUGUCGGAGGGGAUAGCGGAAUUGCUAAUGUAGAGGUGAAAUUCGUAGAUAUUAGCAGGAACACCGGUGGCGAAGGCGGCUAUCUGGACGACAACUGACGCUGAGGCGCGAAAGCGUGGGGAUCAAACAGGAUUAGAUACCCCGGUAGUCCCUGUCUCUUAUAA